GAUGAACGCUGGCGGCGUGCCUAAUACAUGCAAGUCGAGCGAACGGACGAGAAGCUUGCUUCUCUGAUGUUAGCGGCGGACGGGUGAGUAACACGUGGAUAACCUACCUAUAAGACUGGGAUAACUUCGGGAAACCGGAGCUAAUACCGGAUAAUAUUUUGAACCGCAUGGUUCAAAAGUGAAAGACGGUCUUGCUGUCACUUAUAGAUGGAUCCGCGCUGCAUUAGCUAGUUGGUAAGGUAACGGCUUACCAAGGCGACGAUGCAUAGCCGACCUGAGAGGGUGAUCGGCCACACUGGAACGGGGACACGGUCCAUAGUCCUACGGGAGGCAGCAGUAGGGAAUCGUCCGCAAUGGGCGGAAGCCUGACGGAGCAACGCCGCGUGAGUGAUGAAGGUCUUCGGAGCGGAAUACUCUGUUAUUAGGGAAGAACAGAUGUGUAAGGAACUGUGCACAGCUUGACGGUACCUAAUCAGAAAGCCACGGCUAACUACGUG
rnacentral:rRNA from 1 species